GCAAAUCUUUAAGCCUAUUUAUUUACCUAUAAAUAGGAAUGAUAGUAGCUGCCCUACCUCUCUAGCUGGGACAUUUGUAAUGAAUAAGUGAAGUAAAGUAUGUCAAAGUGCUUGAAAUCUAUAAAACUCUGCCCCAGUCACAUGCCUUUAGAAAAAUACAUAUUGCCAGAAGCAGGCUGACUUGGGCCUCUCCUACCAUUUUCUUCGUCAAAGCUGCUGUGAUGAUGUUCUAGCUUUUCUCACAGGCAGUUGUUGAUGAAAAGGAUCUCUUUCAGGUGCUGCCACUGGCUCUGGAUCUCAUCUUCUGCAGCCAUUCCACCAGGAC
rnacentral:lncRNA from 10 species